GUUUCGUUGGUGCAGUGGUAGCAUGCCCUCUUAGGGUUCUUACGAAGUUUUCGAAGGAACUUUGGGGGUGGUCCUCGGUUCAAUCCCGGGACGAGACC
rnacentral:tRNA from 1 species